rnacentral:tRNA from 1 species
GUGAGUGCGACGAAGAUGGCGAGUCGUGGCGGUCUGUAAAACCGUUGCUCAAAAGGCCCAGUUGGUUCGAAUCCAGCCACUCACA